ensembl:lncRNA
GCCAUGGCAGUCAGAGAAGAAGAAAUAAAUGGAAUCUAAAUUGGAAAAGAAGAUAUUAAACUGUCACUGUUUAGAGAUAAAAUGACACUAUACAUAGAAAAUUCUAAAGAUCCUACCAGAAAACUGCUAGAGCUCACAGUGAAUUUGGUAAAGUUGCAGAAUACAAAAAUGAUAGAUAGAGAUCUCUUGCAUUCCUAUACACUAACAAUGAAAGGUCAGAAAGAGAAAUUAAGGAAACACCUUGUUGAUCAUCACAUCAAAAAGAAUAAAAUACCUAGGAAUGAACCUACCUAAGGAGACAAAAGACCUGUACUCUGAAAAUUGUAAGACACUGACGAAAGAAAUAGAAGAUGACACAAAUAGGUGGAGAAACACACCAUGUUCUUGGAUUGGAAGAAUCAGUAUCGUCAACAUGGCUAACGUGUGAUAUUCAGCAAUAAUUUGGAAACCCACACCUCAAAGGGUGAUAGGGCUCAAAGAGAUAGUGUGGGUAAAAUGACUGGCACAGACAGGACCUAGCAGUAACAAUCUGUGAAGAUAUUAUGAGACGAAGCAAAUACCACCUUCAUCAAACUUUCCCCCUAGAUUUAGCAUCCACAGAUGACUCUUGCUCUAAUCCGUCUUUACCACGUGGUUGCAAAAUGCUGAUUGUCUAACUUCAACACUCCCUGUACACUCACUUGUGGAUAGAAGAAUCCUUUUUUCUCCCAUUCAUUUAUCAUGUAUCUUUUUUUUAUGUCUUCAUAGAUAUCUUAUUUAAUAAAAAGGAUAUUUCAACAUGC